CAGCGCCACAAGUGGUGAUCAUAUUAUUGGGUCUAAAGCGUCCGUAGCCGGUUUGGUAAAUCUCUUGUGAAAUUGUUAGGCUUAACCUAACAACGUGCAGGAGAAACUGCCAGACUAGGAACCGGGAGAGGUUAGGAGAAUGCUGGGGGGAGCGGUAAAAUGCUAUCAUCCCCAGUGGACUACCAGUGGCGAAGGCGCCUAACCAGAACGGGUUCGACGGUGAGGGACGAAAGCUAGGGGAGCAAUCCGGAUUAGAUACCCGAGUAGUCC
rnacentral:rRNA from 1 species